AAACUGGAUCUUGUGCUUUGCUUGCAGCGUGUUCCAUCGUGUUUCUCAAUAUUUGGAGUGUUGGAUUUUCCAUGUCAAUUAAUGAGGCUUGAUCCGACGCUCCUUGUUUUUUUUUUCUGAUUUAUUUCUUUUUAUAUUUUUAUUUUUAAAUUGAUUUUUCUUUAAAAAUUCAUAGUAAUUUCAUUUUUUAUCCAAAAAAUCCCAAAAUAAUUUCUAAAGUUCUCUUUUAUUUUUUUUCAUCUGACUUUUAU
rnacentral:lncRNA from 1 species